rnacentral:siRNA from 1 species
UAAAUUUAGUUAUGCUAUGAUCAC